AUUCUCUUCAAUCUCAAUAAUUAUACCUAGUUCUCUUCUUCUCUUCCAUUACUCUCACUCCUUCUCUAUGCAUUAAUUCUAGCUUCAUCUUCCUCGUGAUGAAGGGAGAAAAAACAUCAUCGCAUCAUCAUACUUUUCCUUGCAUUUACUCAUGCAUGUGGAAGAAAAUUUCCCACGAUAAUUGAUAUACAUAUUAUAUAUGCAUCUCGGUAGCAUGAAUACUUACAUUUUAUGCCAGAUUAGUUUUAGUUGGGGCGAGGUCAAUUAAGAUAUAUACUAUAUAGUUUGGCAACUCUAAUUAUUCAUGUACAUGUAGGUCACACCAUGCAUACAUAUAUUGUAUAUGCCUGGCUCCCUAUAUGCCAUCUUCAGAGCUCAUUAGAACUUUAAUGGCUUCCGUGGAUGGCGUAUAUGGAGCCAAGCAUAU